ensembl:lncRNA
CUACAAGUCUCAUGGAGGCCAUGCUGCCUGAAUGAUGCGUAUUGUCAUACUUGGCAGGAAACAAGCUCUCUAAUUGCUGUUCCUGUGUGGCAGCCAGAGAGCCGGGUAUUAUAAUAAACGUUCAGAGUUUUUUUUUGUAGCAGAUGGGUGGGGUUAUAGUAUACAUGCUCCUGAAAAGUUAGCCUGCCUGGGCUUUCAGCCUCUCUGUUAGCUUUGACACCCCUGGGGAACUCCUUCAUUUAAUCAGUCAGGACUAAGUAGAUCCUUAGAUGUAUGUAAUCAUAUGUCUAGAUCGCAAAGCUUCCGUUAGUCCCCGGUAUUAGCUGUUAUCAGCCAUCACUAACAUAGAGAGGCUGCUGCCAACAUACAGACUCAAAUCUCUCUUGCCACUUUAAUAAUUUGAUUUUAUUUGUUUGUGUAGCUCUGUGUAGGGAUGAUAAUCAUUAUCCCGCUGUUGUACUGAGUGGGGAGGGACACAACUGGCCCCGUGCUUCUCAUUACGGCUGGACACAGCUCUGUGUAGGCCGAUAUAGCCUCUGUGUAGGCUGAUAUAGCCUCUGUGUAGGUCGAUAUAGCCUCUGUGUAGGUCGAUAUAGCCUCUGUGUAGGUCGAUAUAGCCUCUGUGUAGGUCGACACAGCUCUGUGUAGGUCGAUAUAGCCUCUGUGUAGGUCGAUGUAGCUCUGUGUAGGUCGAUAUAGCUCUGUGUAGGUCAUUGCAGCUCUGUGUAGGUUGAUGUAGCUCUGUGUAGGUCGAUAUAGCUCUGUGUAGGUCGAUGCAGCUCUGUGUAGGUCGACCCAGCUCUGUGUAGGUCGAUAUAGCUCUGUGUAGGUUGAUGUAUCUCUGUGUAUGCUGAUAUAGCCUCUGUGUAGGUCGAUAUAGCCUCUGUGUAGGUCGAUAUAGCCUCUGUGUAGGCCGAUAUAGCCUCUGUGUAGGUCGAUAUAGCCUCUGUGUAGGUCGACACAGCUCUGUGUAGGUCGAUAUAGCCUCUGUGUAGGUCGAUAUAGCCUCUGUGUAGGUCGAUAUAGUCUCUGUGUAGGUCGAUGUAGCUCUGUGUAGGUCGACAUACAGAGUUAUAUCGACUCUCAGCUCAUCUCAUAACCCUCAGCUCAUCUCAUAACCCUCAUCUCAUAACCCUCAGAUCAUGUCAUAACCCUCAGCUCAUCUCAUAACCCUCAUCUCAUAACCCUCAGCUCAUCUCAUAACCCUCGUCUCAUAACCCUCAGCUCAUCUCAUAACCCUCGUCUCAUAACCCUCAGCUCAUCUCAUAACCCUCAUGUCAUAACCCUCAGCUCAUCUCAUAACCCUCGUCUCAUAACCCUCAGCUCAUCUCAGAACCCUCGUCUCAUAACCCUCAGCUCAUCUCAGAACCCUCGUCUCAUAACCCUCAGCUCAUCUCAUAACCCUCAUCUCAUAACCCUAAUCUCAUAACCCUCGUCUCAUAACCCUCAGUUCAUCUCAUUUCGUUAUUAUUUUGGUUAGGCCAGGGUGUGACAUGGGGAUUUAUGUGGUUUGUUUUGUCUGGGGUUGUUUGUAGUUAUGGGAUUGUGGUUAGAGUAGUACUCUAGGUAAGUCUAUGGUUGCCUAGAGUGGUUCUCAAUCAGAGGCAGGUGUUUAUCGUUGUCUCUGAUUGGGAACCAUAUUUAGGCAGCCAUAUUCUUUAGGUCUCUUGUGGGUGAUUGUUCCUGUCUUUGUGUUUGUGGCACCAGAUAGGACUGUUUUGUGUUGGGUUUUGUGGGUGAUUGUUCCUGUCUUUGUGUUUGUGGCACCAGAUAGGACUGUUUUGGUUUUUCACGGUUCUUGUUUUGUAUAUUGUUGUAUUUUCAUCUUUAUUAAAGAUGUA